UACGGGGGGGGGCAAGCGUUGUCCGGACUCAUUGGGCGUAAAGCGCGCGUCGGCGGCCCGGUAAGUCCGUUGUGAAAGUCAAAGGCUCAACCUUUGAAUGCCGACGGAUACUGCCGGGCUAGAGUACGGAAGAGGCGAGUGGAAUUCCUGGUGUAGCGGUGGAAUGCGCAGAUAUCAGGAGGAACACCGGUGGCGAAGGCGGGUCUCUGGGCCGUAACUGACGCUGAGGAGCGAAAGCAUGGGGAGCGAACAGG
rnacentral:rRNA from 1 species